UUUGGGAGGCUGAGGCGGGUGGAUCACGAGGUCAAGAGAUCGAGACCAUCUUGGUCAACAUGGUGAAACCCCGUCUCUACUAAAAAUACAAAAAUUAGCUGGGCAUGGUGGCGCACGCCUGUGGUCCGUCCCAGCUACUCAGGAGGCUGAGACAGGAGAAUUGCUUGAACCCAGGAGGCGGAGGUUGCGGUGAGCCGAGAUCGCACCUGGCACUCCAGCCUGGGUAACAAGAGUGAAACUCCGUCUCAACAAAAAAAUUUGAAUUUCUCUCGUGGUAGUCUCAUGAGAUCCUCUCUCCACUCUUUGCAUUGAUCCUCGGUGUAUUCCAGCCUCGACGCCAACACACGUGAUGACGUCCGCCUGGGGCAGGUAAGGGAAGGGACACGAGGAGGCGCUGUCACCUCAUUCUGUGAGCCGCAGCGCCCUUGGCCCUGCUGGUCUUGUAUCAUUUCAGUGAAAGCCACUCCAGACGUUUUUUUCUUGAGACAGAGUCUCGCUCAGUCCCCACGCUGGAGUGCAGUGGCGGGAUCUCGGCUCACUGCAACCUCCGCCUACUGGGUUCAAGCGAUUCUUCUGCCCCAGCCUCCCGAGGAGCUGGGAAUACAGGCGCCUACCAUCACGUCUGGCUAAUUCUGGUCUUUUUUAGUAGAGAAAAGGCUUUACCAUGUUGGUCAGGCUGGUCUCGAACUCCUCACUUCAAGUGAUCCACCCGCCUCAGCCUCCCAAAGUGCUGGGAUUACAGGCAUGAGCCACUGCGCUCGGCUGUCACUCCAGACUUUGAUGGGGGCCACACUCGGGGGUGUAAAUUAGGAUCCUCACUGAAGGGGCGGGACCAUGGGAGGCUUUUUCAUGGCCCCUUGGUCUUGGAUUUUCAUCCGCGCGGCGGAGCCCGUUUCCAUCGGAACCACCCAGAGGCGGGCGCUGCCUUCCUGGGGUGACAAAGCAGCAGGAAGUGUUUUCGGAUCCUAGAAUCCGUGGGCGGCUGGUGGGAGGGGCUGAGGCACAUUUCCCUAUUUGCCGGGUUCCGAAUCCACCGUGGUGCUGUUUCAAGCGAGUUGGAUUCCAGAUCGCGCUCCAUCCUGGACUCGGAAUUCCUGCCCGCGGGUCUGCAUUUUACAGCGUUAGGUGUGAGUGCCCCGCAGCUGGAGACCAGAAGUCGAAAGGCAGCUCCACCCUCCCCAGCCCGCAGCGCAGUUAUUCCGUUUCUGUGUCAGUAAAACUUGUCAUUUUCCGUAGACCAGGGCGGGGUGACGGGUGAUCCCAGUCGUCGCAGUGAACUUCAGGCUGCAGAAUUCUAAACGCUUGUGGACGCCGAGCGCAGCUCCGCCCUGGGUUACUUAAGCGACCACGCUGGGCUGUUUCUCUUUCUUUUCCGGACCCAGCAGUGGAGCCUCAAGUCUGUGAGGAGGAAGUCGCUGCUGUGCUCUGCCUCCCUCCCCAAGGCCUGUGUUGCCUGACAAGGAGGACCCUGAGGGCCACCACACCAGAAGCAUCUGGCUUCUCAUCUGCCAACCUCACACUGACCUAGCUGCAGGAAGGGAAGAAACUGACCCUGGACUCAAGACCCAAAGGGACCCGACUCAGGGAGAUGAGACAUACCAAGUCUGAGCAGCUGUGGGAGUCCUUCCAGAGAGGAGCUGAGAUACACCUGCCUGGAGGGGCUCCUGGGCCUGGAGGGGCUCCUCAGUGUGACUGGGUGAGGUGUUUUCAGAGGACCAGGGUUGAGAUACUGGGGAUGUCCUCAGUCACCCUUUGACUCACGCAGCACUCCUCAUUUGGAAGUUUUUCUUGCUCUAACCUCCUUCCUUCUGCACCUUCUGCCCCAGCCCCUAGCUCUGGCCUCUCUCUCUCCUCUUCUACCCUCUAGUGGGUAAUGACUCACUUCCCACUGAGGAGUGAACUCUAGAUGAGAGUCUGGACUCUUAGCGAGGUUAGGAGAAGGAGAAGGCUUAUGGGUCAGGUCGUGGGAGGGAGAAUGGGCACAGCCAGAGCAGAAGUGAAAGGGUUGGGGGAGGCGAUAAAGACAGAUGUUUCCAUAUCAUUUUUCUUUCAUGGUCCAAGGGAACUGUCCUUUCCCCAGGCCCCGGGAAGUGAAAAGAGAAGCAGGAACAGUGAAAUACUCCAUAGGAAAGAAAAAUAUAAGUAAUCCCUCCAGCUGUCUCUCUCUCUUUUUUUUUUUUUUUUUGCCUAUUUUGGCAAAUUUGUAAGUGAAAUUUGUUACCAAGACAUGAAAAUUUUUUUUUUUGGGUUUUUUAUAUUUUAUUUCAUUUAUUUUUUUUUAUUGCAUUUUAGGUUUUGGGGUACAUGUGCAGAGCAUGCAAUACCGUUGCAUAGGUACACACAUGGCAGUGUGUUUUGUUUGUUUUCUCCCCUUCACCCACAUUUGGUAUUUCUCCCCAGGAAUCCCUCCCCACCUCCCCCUCCCACUGGCCCUCCCCUUUCCCCCCUAUAGACCCCAGUGUUUAGUACUCCCCUCUCUGUGUCCAUGUGUUCUCAUUUUUCAUUACCCGCCUGUGAGUGAGAAUAUGCGGUGUUUCAUUUUCUGUUCUUGUGUCAGUUUGCUGAGAAUGAUGUUCUCCAGAUUCAUCCAUGUCCCUACAAACAACACAAACUCAUCAUUUCUGAUUGCUGCAUAAUAUUCCAUGGUGUAUAUGUGCCACAUUUUCCCAAUCCAGUCUAUCAUCGAUGGGCAUUUGGGUUGAUUCCAGGUCUUUGCUAUUGUAAACAGUGCUGCAAUGAACAUUCGUGUGCAUGUGUCCUUGUAGUAGAACGAUUUAUAGUCCUUUGGAUAUAUACCCAGUAAUGGGAUUGCUGGGUCAAAUGGGAUUUCUAUUUCUAAGGCCUUGAGGAAUCGCCACACUGUCUUCCACAAUGGUUGGACUAAUUUACACUCCCACCAACAGUGUAAAAGUGUUCCUUUUUCUCCACAUCCUCUCCAGCAUCUGUUGUCUCCAGAUUUUUUAAUGAUCGCCAUUCUAACUGGCGUGAGAUGGUAUCUCAAUGUGGUUUUGAUUUGCAUCUCUCUGAUGACCAGCAACGAUGAGCAUUUUUUCAUAUGAUUGUUGGCCUCAUAUAUGUCUUCUUUCGUAAAGUGUCUGUUCAUAUCCUUUGAUCACUUUUGAAUGGACUUGUUUGUUUUUUUCCUGUAAAUCUGUUUGAGUUCUUUGUAAAUUCUGGAUAUCAGCCCUUUGUCAGAUGGGUAAACUGCAAAAAUUUUUUCCCAUUCUGUUGGUUGCCGAUUCACACUAGAGACUGUUUCUUUUGCUGUGCAGAAGCUGUGGAGUUUCAUUAGGUCCCAUUUGUCUAUUUUGGCUUUUGUUGCCAAUGCUUUUGGUGUUUUGUUCAUGAAGUCCUUGCCUACUCCUAUGUCCUGGAUGGUUUUGCCUAGAUUUCCUUCUAGGGCUUUUAUGGUGCCAGGUCUUAUGUUUAAGUCUUUAAUCCAUCUGGAGUUAAUUUUGGUGUAAGGUGUCAGGAAGGGGUCCAGUUUCUGCUUUCUACACAUGGCUAGCCAGUUUUCCCAGCACCAUUUGUUGAACAGGGAAUCCUUUCCCCAUUGCUUGUUUUUGUCAGAUUUAUCAAAGAUUGUAUGGUUGUAGCUAUGUUGUGUUGCCUCUGAUGCCUCUGUUCUGUUCCAUUGAUCUAUAUCUCUGUUUUGGUACCAGUACCAUGCUGUUUUUAUUACUGUAGCCUUAUAGUAUAGUUUGAAAUCUGGUAGUGUGAUGCCCCCCGCUGUGUUCUUUUUGCUUAGAAUUGACUUGGCUAUGCGGGCUCUCUUUUGGUUCCAUAUGAAGUUCAUGGUGACAUGAAAAUCUUAUUAUAAGAAAGUCCCUAAAUAUUUGAGAAUAAAAUUAUCAAUAUCUCAGCUCUGCAGACUGAAAAAGCAAAAGCUUUACAGAAUAAAAUCAUGCUUGCAAAACUCCUCUAAGGCAUGUCAAAGGCUGCACUGAAUAAGCUCUAAAUUAGUGCUGAAAUGACAUUUAUUUGCCUGUGUGAGUUCAAGCAGAUGUUGGAAUUGAGGCAGGUUGGGUAAUGAAGAAAGUAACCAUGUCCUCGGGACAUAGCGAUGGUGAUGACCAUACAACCAACAUAGUAAGCUCCGGCAUUCGCCUUGUAGUCCGGCUCAUUCAAGCAAAGCUAUCUCCAGCAGGGAAUUUACCAGGCAAAGAACAUGUGCAUUUGGAUUUCACCUGUACUCAGACUGACCCUUUGCUCAUCACAGGAGUGAAAAACACACCCCCGGGUGGAGAUUUAAGAUGCUAAUGAGACAUGAGAUGUGUGAACAAGCAUGUACAGCCACUGCACUCGUGCAUGCCGAGGACCUCCCAGAACAUGCUUGCUAGUAACUUCUCUUCCCACCCACCUCCUAUGAAUAAUCAUGUAAGACUCCUGUGCCUGGCUCAGUGGCUCACGCCUGUAAUCCCAGCACUUUGGGAGGCCAAGGUGGGUGGAUCACUAGGUCAAGAGAUCGAGACCAUCCUGGUCAACAUGGUGAAACCCCGUCUCUACUAAAAAUUUUUUGUAAUUAGCUGGGCAUGGUGGCACGUGCCUAUCAUCCCAGCUACUCAGGAGGCUGAUGCAGGAGAAUUGCCUGAACCCAGGAGGUGGAGGUUGUGGUGAGCCGAGAUCGUGGCAUUGCACUUCAGCCUGGGUAACAAGAGCUAAACUCGGUCUCAAAAAAAAAAAAAAAAGACUCCUGUAAAGGGAGUUUCUCCAGCAGCAGUCAAUGCCGACUCAUCCUUAGGAGCAGCCUGCCUUCAAUCCUUUCCCUCUCAGGGUACGGUCUAUUUUGGACUUAACUUUCAAAAUGUUAUUUUUUCUUUCUUUCUUUUUGUGUUGUUUUUUAUUUUUCCUUUGUAAUAAAUUGCUUUGGGGCCGGGCGCGGUGGCUCAUGCCUGUAAUCCCAACACUUUAGGAGGCCGAGGCGGGUGGAUCACGAGGUCAAGAGAUCGAGACCAUCCUGGUCAACAUGGUGAAACCCCGCCUCUACUAAAAAUACAAAAAAUUAGCUGGGCAUGGUGGUGAGUGCCUGUAAUCCCAGCUACUCAGGAGGCUGAGGCAGGAGAAUUGCCUGAACCCAGGAGGCGGAGGUUGCGGUGAGCUGAGAUCGCGCCAUUGCACUCCAGCCUGGGCAACAAGAGGGAAACUCCUCCUCAAAAUAAAUAAAUAAAUUGCUUUGUACUUGA